rnacentral:misc_RNA from 1 species
CAGAGUUUACAACUCCCAAACCCCUGUGAACAUACCAGUCGUUGCCUCGGCGGUGUCUUGCUUCGGCGAGCCCGCCAGAGGACCCAACAAACUCUUGUUUUUACCAGCAGUAUUAUCUGAGUGACAAAACAAAAUAAAUCA